rnacentral:rRNA from 1 species
ACAUGCUGACGAGCGGCGAACGGCCCAUUAAUGCUUCGGAAUCUGCCCAAUGGUGGGGAAUAACCACCCUAAAGGUUGGCUAAUACCGCAUAAGUCCUACGGGGGAAAGCAGGGGAUCGCAAGACCUUGCGCCGAUGGAUGAGCCGAAGUCGGAUUAGCUAGUUGGUAGGGUAACGGCCUACCAAGGCGACGAUCCGUAGCUGGUCUGAGAGGACGACCAGCCACACUGGGACUGAGACACGGCCCAGACUCCUACGGGAGGCGGCAGUGGGGAAUAUUGGACAAUGGGGGAAACCCUGAUCCAGCGACGCCGCGUGUGUGAAGAAGGCCUGCGGGUUGUAAAGCACUUUUAGUGGGGAUGAAAAGCUCAGGGCUAACACCUCUGGGUCUUGACCUAACCCAAAGAAAAAGCACCGGCUAACUCUGUGCCAGCAGCCGCGGUAAUACAGAGGGUGCGAGCGUUAAUCGGAAUUACUGGGC